CCAGACGAAUGACCUCCGUGAAGCCGGCCUACCAAAGAGAAGCAAAUAUUUACCCUGCGUGUUUGAACCCAUGGCACGGUGCCACGACUGCCCCUCGGAGCACAUACCGGACCGAUAGGCUUACUCGCCCUCCAACUUUACUCUCUGGGACUCCUGGGUACACCCUACAUGACGCCAACUAAAGUCUUCUCAAUUUUCGACCAUCACAUCAUGGAGAGGAACAUGUCAGAAAGGGGUCUGACACAUCCCAGAGCUCAGCCGCCCUGAGACCAAUGUCUCCUUACGGGGCACGGACUUCAAAGUCCAUUUUGGAUGGACUGAUCUGAAGAACGCAAACCCGUCUCUGAUAACCAACAGAGCAGUCGGGAUCAGUGGAGAAGCCACCAAAUGAGAUCUCCUGGGCAUCAAAUACACACAAUACAUAAAAUAUGUGCAUAUAUUAAUGUGCUGUUCUAUUCUUCUGUCGAGGUGAAGUUGGUUGAAAUAUGCUGACAGUCUUGGCUGUGCAUGAUUUACUCAUCUGUCAUCACUGAAUAAUUAUACAUGGAAAACACAUACUCAGUGUAGUUUUCCUCGACUCGUUGACUCAUGCCAGGGUCAUGCCAGGGUGCAACAGAUGCAAGACAGCACAUCCGACCCACCUGUGCACUCCAUGGCCCCAUAACCCAGCAUCAUCCUCAAUCAGAUUAGCAUGUCCACUCCAAGAAAUGAGCUCUCAAAUCGGCAUUUAAUCCCUCAGGAGAAAAACAACAACAGCAACAUGGCACCAUAUAGGACAGAUGUGCAAAACCUUAACCUGGGACAAGAAAAUUGCCACUUUGGUGCUAUGUGUCAGCCAUCAUUUAAAAAAAAAAAAAAAAAAAAAAAAAAAUCUUAAUCUGAUAAAAGGUUCAAGAUUAGUUGCGGCGCAAAUUGAGAAACUCUGAUAAACUUUGAAUGCCUGUCAGGAUUAAGGUAUUGUGCUUUAAUCUGGGUAUGUUGGUAUUGUGCUUCAAAUUGUAAUCCCUGUACCCUGUAGGAGCAGUCAUCAACUACAUGUUGGGGAAGCGGGGGUUUAGAGGCAAAAUGGAGAUGCAUACAAUGUAUUGAGCUCUGUUGAAAAAAAAAACCUCAGGCUUCAGUGGAUCAGCGGAUAUGGAAUCAAUCACUAAAGCUACUGAAUUUAUGGCUCUACUAAGCUUGUUCUACUAGCUAGAACAAGGUAGACAGGUGGGUUUUUGAGAACAGCGAUUCAAAGGGAAAUGUUUAAAAAAAUCUUUAACGGUAAACAAAAAGUAACUUUUUUUACCGAAAUAUUCCACAUCAAGCUCCAUUUCGAAAAUUCAUGACUCCAGGAGUUGGCAUGCAGCGGCGAUUCAAGCCUGCUCAACCCACGCUGUCUCUAAAGACCCUUAAACCAAAGCAAACGUUUCAACAACAUUUCCAUCCAUUCCUACUCUAACAGUGUGAUGAGAGCAGGUUAAAGCUGUAAGCCAUCAAAGUCUGCCGAGCAGCGUGCCCUGUUUGAAACUCAUCUGGAUCCCCCAUAAACACUCGGCUGCUAAUUGACUACACAUGUGGCGCUGAGUGCAUUUUAGCAUGCGUUAGUGUGAGUGUGUGUGCUGUAGCGUGUUAGAAUGUGCAUGCGUGUGUUGGCAUAUACCAUGGCUUAUCAGUCUGAUCAAAGACAGCCUUUCCUUAAACUGUCUGGAAUAUGAAAGGCACACAAAGGCUUCAUGGUAAAUAUCUGAUCCGGAGAGUAAUUGGUACCUGUCUCGGAGAUCUGGCUCUUUGAUCGACACUCCUUUCCUCUUCCGUAGUUUAAAUGUGGAAAUAUAUUUACUGGUGGCUCCCCCACAUCCGAUCGUCGUGCACCAUCUGGGCAGGGUGCUAAAAGAUGCUCGCUGCCAAAAUGUGCUCUCUGAGCUCAUGAAACUGUCCCCGCUUCUUGUCACACUGCAUAUCAAGAAUACCUGGAAGGAAUGACAUACAAUUGAAUUAUUAGGAAAAACUGUAAAAUGUUAUAAUAAUAUUAGACAGGGCACUGAGAAGCAUAUUAUUUUUUAGAAAUAAAAGACUUGAAUGAC